UGGGGAAUAUUGGACAAUGGGCGAAAGCCUGAUCCAGCAAUGCCGCGUGAGUGAUGAAGGCCUUAGGGUUGUAAAGCUCUUUUACCAGGGAUGAUAAUGACAGUACCUGGAGAAUAAGCUCCGGCUAACUCCGUGCCAGCAGCCGCGGUAAUACGGAGGGAGCUAGCGUUGUUCGGAAUCACUGGGCGUAAAGCGCACGUAGGCGGCUAUUCAAGUCAGAGGUGAAAGCCCGGGGCUCAACCCCGGAACUGCCUUUGAAACUAGGUAGCUAGAAUCUUGGAGAGGCGAGUGGAAUUCCGAGUGUAGAGGUGAAAUUCGUAGAUAUUCGGAAGAACACCAGUGGCGAAGGCGACUCGCUGGACAAGUAUUGACGCUGAGGUGCGAAAGCGUGGGGAGCAAACA
rnacentral:rRNA from 1 species